UGAGCAAUCUGCCCUUCUCAUCGGAAUAAGCGUUGGAAACGACGUCUAAUGCCGAAUACGACCUCCUUUCGCAUGAUCGGAGGUGGAAAGCUCCGGCGGAGAAGGAUGAGCUCGCGGCCUAUCAGCUAGUUGGUGUGGGUAAUGGCCCACCAAGGCGACGACGGGUAGCCGGCCUGAGAGGGUAACCGGCCACACUGGGACUGAGACACGGCCCAGACUCCUACGGGAGGNAGCG
rnacentral:rRNA from 1 species